AGAGUUUGAUCCUGGCUCAGGAUGAACGCUGGCGGCGUGCCUAACACAUGCAAGUCGAACGGAUCCAUAUUGAAACCUAGUGAUGUAUGGAUUAGUGGCGGACGGGUGAGUAACGCGUGGAUAACCUGCCGUAUACAGGGGGAUAACACUUAGAAAUAGGUGCUAAUACCGCAUAAGCGCACGGUUCCGCAUGGAACAGUGUGAAAAACUCCGGUGGUAUACGAUGGAUCCGCGUCUGAUUAGCCAGUUGGCGGGGUAACGGCCCACCAAAGCGACGAUCAGUAGCCGGCCUGAGAGGGUGAACGGCCACAUUGGGACUGAGACACGGCCCAAACUCCUACGGGAGGCAGCAGUGGGGAAUAUUGCACAAUGGGGGAAACCCUGAUGCAGCGACGCCGCGUGAGUGAAGAAGUAUUUCGGUACGUAAAGCUCUAUCAGCAGGGAAGAAAAAAAGUCCUUUGGACUUUGGACGGUACCUGACUAAGAAGCCCCGGCUAACUACGUG
rnacentral:rRNA from 1 species